UACGAAGGGGGCUAGCGUUGUUCGGAAUUACUGGGCGUAAAGCGCGCGUAGGCGGACUGACAAGUCGGGGGUGAAAUCCCGAGGCUCAACCUCGGAACUGCCUUCGAUACUGUCAGUCUUGAGGUCGGGAGAGGUGAGUGGAACUCCGAGUGUAGAGGUGAAAUUCGUAGAUAUUCGGAAGAACACCAGUGGCGAAGGCAGCGAAUUGGCCCUAUAUUGACGCUGAGGCACGAAAGCGUGGGGAGCAAACAGG
rnacentral:rRNA from 1 species